UGACGCGAUUCCUGUGCGCAUUCACGUUUUAUUUCUUUCCGGUUUCGUCGUUGGGAAGGUUAGUCCGGUUCUCGUCAUCCUCCGCUUGAUAAAAUGACAUCGAAGGUCUCCCGCGACACUCUUUAUGAGUGCGUAAAUGCCGUGCUCCAACAUUCGCAAGACAAGAAGAGAAACUUCUUGGAAACAAUAGAGCUCCAGAUCGGUUUGAAGAACUAUGAUCCACAGAAGGAUAAGCGUUUCUCAGGCACUGUCAAAUUUUUAAUAGACAUAUAUCAAAUCACAAUCAUUGUAUUUUCUGUAUCAUGCUGGAAAGCAUCCUUUAUCUGGCGGACCUGUACCCAGGGUCUUAAAUAAACUGGGGAGGUAUUUAUACCGUUAAUUAAAUUAUACAGGAUCAUGGAUUAUGAUCCUGCUGGUUAAAGAAUAUUCCUAGACCAAAAAUGCAAGUAUGCGUUCUUGGCGAUCAACAGCAUUGUGAUGAAGCUAAGGCUAAUAAUAUUCCAUAUAUGGAUGCAGAAGCAUUGAAAAAACUUAAUAAGAAUAAGAAACUUGUCAAGAAACUCG
rnacentral:misc_RNA from 1 species